GCCCGGGUGGCGGAAUCGGUAUACGCGGCAGACUUAAAAUCUGCUGGUCGGAAGAUCGUGCGGGUUCAAGUCCCGCCCCGGGUA
rnacentral:tRNA from 1 species